CCUACGGGGGGCAGCAGUGGGGAAUAUUGCACAAUGGGCGCAAGCCUGAUGCAGCCAUGCCGCGUGUAUGAAGAAGGCCUUCGGGUUGUAAAGUACUUUCAGCGAGGAGGAAGGCAUUAAGGUUAAUAACCUUAGUGAUUGACGUUACUCGCAGAAGAAGCACCGGCUAACUCCGUGCCAGCAGCC
rnacentral:rRNA from 1 species